rnacentral:lncRNA from 1 species
AUGAAAAACAGUAUUUUUCUUUUCGUUUCCUCAGAGCUGAAUGACACUGCAACCCAAAAUCACAAAUCGGGUUUAGGUUCCUGGUGGUGCCCGCUUCCUCUUCUAGUUUGUUUAGUCACUGACUUGAUUCCUGUGGGCCGCUGGGCUCUGCAAGUAGGCUCGGCGCGCCAUUGCAAUGCGGGAGCUCCUCAGCUCCGGGGUAAACAGAAACCAGCUGUAACACCGGGUCAGAGCGCAUUCAAAUGAGCCACUUUGAAGGAGCGGCGCCCAGGCCCCAGGCCCGGUUGUGAAGCCCCGCGGAGUUCAGGGCCGGGCCGCGUGACCGCCU